rnacentral:rRNA from 1 species
ACGCUCGACACCUACGGGAGGUAGCAGUCGGGAAUAUUGCGCAAUGGAGGAAACUCUGACGCAGUGACGCCGCGUGCAGGAAGAAGGUUUUCGGAUUGUAAACUGCUUUAGACAGGGAAGAAAGAAAUGACAGUACCUGUAGAAUAAGCUCCGGCUAACUACGUGACAGCACGCCGACGGUAAUCUGAGGCGGGCGUGGACGAAGGC